GAGAGCGGCGGACGGGUGAGUAAUGCCUAGGAAUCUGCCUGGUAGUGGGGGAUAACGUUCGGAAACGGACGCUAAUACCGCAUACGUCCUACGGGAGAAAGCAGGGGACCUUCGGGCCUUGCGCUAUCAGAUGAGCCUAGGUCGGAUUAGCUCGUUGGUGGGGUAAUGGCUCACCAAGGCGGCGAUCCGUAACUGGUCUGAGAGGAUGAUCAGUCACACUGGAACUGAGACACGGUCCAGACUCCUACGGGAGGCAGCAGUGGGGAAUAUUGGACAAUGGGCGAAAGCCUGAUCCAGCCAUGCCGCGUGUGUGAAGAAGGUCUUCGGAUUGUAAAGCACUUUAAGUUGGGAGGAAGGGUUGUAGAUUAAUACUCUGCAAUUUUGACGUUACCGACAGAAUAAACGACGGCUAACUCUGUGCCAGCAGCCGCGGUAAUACAGAGGGUGCAAGCGUUAAUCGGAAUUACUGGGCGUAAAGCGCGCGUAGGUGGUUUGUUAAGUUGGAUGUGAAACUCCCCGGGCUCAACCUGGGAACUGCAUUCAAAACUGACUGACUAGAGUAUGGUAGAGGGUGGUGGAAAUUUCCUGUGUAGCGG
rnacentral:rRNA from 1 species